AUGUACAACCGAAGAUAUGAGAAGAAAUGAAGUAAUAAAAGCUUCUCUUUCUCACCCAUUCUUUACUUCCCUUUCUUUCUAAGUUAUAUAUAAUACUAGAUUUUAACCCGCGGUACACCGCGGGAACAAUUUAUUUUUUAAAGUUAGUAUACAUAAACGUUUAUAAAUUGUAUCUAUCUAUUUUAUUUUAUAGUUUAUAAUUGUUAUUAAGUAACGUCUUGCCAAACCCGUCUCGUAAAAAAACCAUUUAUUUUAUUAAUAUUGAUCUUAUUUAUGAUAUGUUUAUGAAUUAUUGUCUAAAUAUUUUGUAAUUUUGUAGUAAUUAAAUGCUAUCAAAUGUCUCUGCGGUUUGAUGAUUAUAAUCGAAUUGUUAUAGUUAUGGAGAAAAGCAAUAUCAAAAUGAUAAUUUUGUAGUAAUUAAAUGAUAUUAAAUAUUUUAGAAGUUUUAUUUUAGUAAUUAAUCGUGUAGUUAAUGUGGAGAGAUUUAGGGAAAAUUGUUAAAUGUCAAAUAUCUAAUUCGAAGAUUUUUUUUCUAAUUAUCAAAAACAAACAUUAAAAUCCAGUGGCAGCCAUUGUAAAUAAGUCCCAACUACAAGAUUUAUUUUACAAAAUGGCUGCAAAAAUGUAUAUAUAGAUAUAU
rnacentral:sRNA from 1 species